rnacentral:rRNA from 1 species
GACGAACGCUGGCGGCGUGCCUAAUACAUGCAAGUUGAGCGCUGAAGGUUGGUACUUGUACCAACUGGAUGAGCAGCGAACGGGUGAGUAACGCGUGGGGAAUCUGCCUUUGAGCGGGGGACAACAUUUGGAAACGAAUGCUAAUACCGCAUAAAAACUUUAAACACAAGUUUUAAGUUUGAAAGAUGCAAUUGCAUCACUCAAAGAUGAUCCCGCGUUGUAUUAGCUAGUUGGUGAGGUAAAGGCUCACCAAGGCGAUGAUACAUAGCCGACCUGAGAGGGUGAGCGGCCACAUUGGGACUGAGACACGGCCCAAACGCCUACGGGAGGCAGCAGUAGGGAAUCGUCGGCAAUGGACGAAAGUCUGACCGAGCAACGCCGCGUGAGUGAAGAAGGUUGUCGGAUCGUAAAACUCGGUUGGUAGAGAAGAACGUUGGUGAGAGUGGAAAGCUCAUCAAGUGACGGUAACUACCCAGAAAGGGACGGCUAACUACGUG